rnacentral:tRNA from 1 species
GCCCUCAUGGCUCAGGGGUAGAGCAUCUCCUUGGUAAGGAGAAGGUCAUGGGUUCAAAUCCCAUUGAGGGCU